ensembl:lncRNA novel transcript
AGUUGGACAGGAUGGAACUCUUCAGGAUUCUAGUUUCCCUCCGCGUGGGUGCGGAGGUAUCAAGGGGUCGGCUCAGUGCCUGGGUGGGCAAGAGAGAAAUGGACCCACAGAGAAAGAUAUUGCCACUGAAGAAGAGGCGGGAUAAAGCCUGUUCCAUGCCAAGCAACCCUGGCAGCAGAAUGGGAUUGGAUCCUGGUGUGGUGUAAAGAAGAAGCAUUGAAAGUCUGCUACCAAUGACAGUGAAGUUUGUGCCAUGAUGUCUGAUUUUAUCUUUACCAUCUAGUUGACCUUUAGGUCCCCAAGUCACAAUGUCUUCAGUUAACAUAGAUUGUUUUCUAGCCAGUGGGCCAAGACAUUGGGUCCAUGGAGCGGGGUAGGAACUAUUGAAGGGAAUCCAUUCCAUAUAGUCAACACAAUUGGGGUGAUUGGGCCGGGAAUGGUUGGUUAGCACACCAGUUACAUUAAUAGAACUAAGACCUAAUAAGCACAUGACUUUUCCAUGGUGACUCAACCAUGCUUGAGCUUGAAUUGUAAGACAGCUACUACAGUUGAGCAAUAUCUUUGUAGUGAUACACCAGGGGAGUCCUUCCAGUGGGGCCAUAUAAUUGAUGACAUUGUUCUGAGAGUCUAACUGUUCUAUGUCAGGAGGAGUUAGA